ensembl:lncRNA
GCUAGCUGACCCAUAACUACCCUAUCUCCCUCCACUGGGACGAUAACAUCUGCCAUGCCUCAGAGCUCUCCGGGACUGGUGCUAAGUGACCAUCAGCUGGCCUGAGAAUAUACAGUAUAUUGUGGCAGCUGCUGUAUCCUGUACUCCUCUGGUACUGCGAGGCCUCUGUCUAUUAUCUGGUGAGAAAAUCAUGUAAUGAGGACUGUCCCAGCUUCCUCCUGGUGCUUUCCAGCAACCCCUGGUCACAGUUAAAUGUUACAGGUUUCAACAUUGUGCCUGAGAUCAAGCAUUAACACCGUCUAGGUUCAGAGAUAUGCGAUGGAUGUCACUGGGAGCACGGUACAGAGUUAAUAAGAAAAUCAUUAUUCUACCCCACUCUGACUGUGUCUUCCAGGCAUACUGAUAAGGGUGUCCUGGGGGUGACCAUCAAAACAUACCUAAUGAGAACGUAGCUGUAAGGCAGGCUUUGGAUCCACUGUGGGAGUGUACAUACAGUGCUGCUGCCUGAUGAGAGAGCCAUGUGAAGCUUCCUUUCACUUGUGACAAAGUGCCCACUUUCAUCCCUCCUUCACUCUACACGUGUGAGGCUUUUUAGCAGGUCCCACAACUUCAUGAAUGGUAAUGCUGGGCUGGUCCUGCUUAAUCAGGCCGUGGGAGGCUGUAAGCGAGGCUGAUUGGCAGUGAGAUUCCCAUAGGUGUGGGGACCCUAGCCUGUGGUCUACCUGCUGUUGCUUCCUGAUUGCUUACUAUAUACUCUCAGUGGGACAGUGAGAACAACCUUCCCUGGAAACAGAGAGUCCUUCUGGCUUAACACCUGCCCUUGUUGCUUCUCAUUUGAUACAAUCCAGUGAAAUUGUGUUUACCAACAAGAUAAGCAGGACUGAGAAAGAAUAUUAGUGCACACACAAUUAAUAGACACUAAAUGUUUUAAAUAGGCCUAAACAUAGAAUAUAUAUUUUCAUGGUUAAUGGUUAAGAAAUGUGCAUGCAGGUACACUAUAUUUAACACCAGAAAGAAUUACA